GAUUGAACGCUGGCGGUAUGCUUAACACAUGCAAGUCGAACGGAAACGAUACUAGCUUGCUAGUAGGCGUCGAGUGGCGGACGGGUGAGUAACGCGUAGGAAUCUGCCUGAUAGUGGGGGAUAGCCCGAAGAAAUUCGGAUUAAUACCGCAUAAUCUAUUCGUAGUAAAGUGGGGGACUUUCGAGCCUCACGCUAUCAGAUGAGCCUGCGUAAGAUUAGCUUGUUGGUAGGGUAAAAGCCUACCAAGGCGACGAUCUUUAGCUGGUCUGAGAGGAUGAUCAGCCACAUCGGGACUGAGACACGGCCCGAACUCCUACGGGAGGCAGCAGUGGGGAAUAUUGGACAAUGGGGGCAACCCUGAUCCAGCAAUACCGCGUGUGUGAAGAAGGCCUGAGGGUUGUAAAGCACUUUCAAUUGUGAAGAAAAGUUAGCGGUUAAUAACCGUUAGCCUUGACGUUAACUUUAGAAGAAGCACCGGCUAACUCCGUGCCAGCAGCCGCGGUAAUACGGAGGGUGCAAGCGUUAAUCGGAAUUACUGGGCGUAAAGCGUGCGUAGGCGGUUUAUUAAGUCAGAUGUGAAAGCCCCGGGCUUAACCUGGGAACUGCAUUUGAAACUGGUCAACUAGAGUAUGGUAGAGGAAAGUGGAAUUUCUGGUGUAGCGGUGAAAUGCGUAGAUAUCAGAAGGAACAUCAAUGGCGAAGGCAGCUUUCUGGACCAAUACUGACGCUGAGGUACGAAAGCGUGGGUAGCAAACAGGAUUAGAUACCCUGGUAGUCCACGCCGUAAACGAUGAUAACUAGCCGUUGGGGGGAUUUACCCUUUAGUGGCGAAGCUAACGCGUUAAGUUAUCCGCCUGGGGAGUACGGCCGCAAGGUUAAAACUCAAAGGAAUUGACGGGGACCCGCACAAGCGGUGGAGCAUGUGGUUUAAUUCGAUGCAACGCGAAGAACCUUACCUGGUCUUGACAUCCUGCGAACUUUCUAGAAAUAGAUUGGUGCCUUCGGGAACGCAGUGACAGGUGCUGCAUGGCUGUCGUCAGCUCGUGUCGUGAGAUGUUGGGUUAAGUCCCGUAACGAGCGCAACCCCUAUCCUUAUUUGCCAGCACAUCAUGGUGGGAACUAUAAGGAGACUGCCGGUGAUAAACCGGAGGAAGGCGGGGACGACGUCAAGUCAUCAUGGCCCUUACGACCAGGGCUACACACGUGCUACAAUGGGAAGGACAAAGAGCCGCGAAGCCGCGAGGUGUAGCUAAUCUCAUAAACCUUUUCGUAGUCCGGAUUGGAGUCUGCAACUCGACUCCAUGAAGUCGGAAUCGCUAGUAAUCGUAGAUCAGAAUGCUACGGUGAAUACGUUCCCGGGUCUUGUACACACCG
rnacentral:rRNA from 1 species